rnacentral:lncRNA from 1 species
AUUUGAAAAAUUCUAAGGGAGCUACCAUUUGAUUUUUAUGGGGGGCUAGGAUGAAAUUUGAAAAAAAUAGGCAGGACAGGAGUUUUAAGUAAAAAAAAAAGGCAGGAUGAGACAUUUUGCAAAAAAAAAAAGGCAGGAUGACAAUUUAGGUAAAAAAAGUCAGGAUAAACUAAUAAAAAAAAAGGCAGGACCGAAUAGAGUGAAAAAUAAAAGGCAGGACAGAGAUUACAACUAAAAAAAAAUGCAGGACAAAAUUUUUCAUCCUAGCCCCCCCAUAAAAAUCAAAUGGUAGCUCCCUAAA